rnacentral:lncRNA from 1 species
ACAACUAGGUGUUACACAGGAUUUGGCUGAAGGGUACUAACUUGUAAUUACGGUGUACCAAUAGCCAGUGGUAGAAAAAGUACCCAAGUAUCAUACUUGAGUAAAAGUAAAGAUACCUUAAUAGAAAAUGACAGAAGUAAAUGUGAAAGUCAUUCAUUAAAAUAUUCUAAAAAUCAACAAUGCAGUUCAAGAAAUAGAGUUAAGAAAAUAUUUACUAAAAUAAACUAAAGUAAAAAAUGUAAUAAAAGUAACACAAUAAAAUAACAAUGACGAGGCUACAUACAGGGGGUACCGGUACCAAGUCAAUGUGCGGGGGUACAGGUUAGUCGAGGUAAUUUGUACAUGUAGGUAGGGGUAACGUGACUAUGCAUAGAUAAUAAACAGCGAGUAGCAGCAGUGUAAAAAAAAAACGGGUGGCCGUUUGAUUAAUUGUUCAACAGUCUUAUGGCUUGGGGGUAGAAGCUGUAAAGGACCCUUUUGGACCUAAACUUGGAGCUCCGGUACCGGUUGGCGUGUGGUAGCAGAGAGAACAUUCUAUGAUUUGAGUGAUUUUUUUGGGGCCUUCCUCUGACACCGCCUAGUAUAUAUCUGUAGGUCCUGGAUGGCAGGAAGCUUGGCCCAAGUGAUGUACUGGGCCAUACGCAUUACCCUUUGUAGUGCCUUACGGUCGGAUGCCGAGCAGUUGCCAUGCCAGGCGGUGAUGCAACCGGUCAGGAUGCUCUCAAUGGUGCAGCUGUAGAACCUUUUGAGGAUCUGGGGACCCAUGCCAAAUCUUUUCAGUCUCCUGAACGAGAAAAGGUGUUGUCGUACCCUCUUCACAACUGUCUUGGUGUGUAUGGACCAUGAUAGUUUGUUGGUGAUGUGGACACUCUCGACCCGCUCCACUACAACCCUGUCAAUGUGAAAAGUAUUUGGUUUUAAAUAUACUGAAGUAUCAGAAGUAAGUCGAUAAAAUGCUAUUGUUUUUGUUGUCCGUAGCUUAUGCCUGCCCAUACCAUAACCCCACUGCCACCAUAGGACACUCUGUUCACAACAUUGACGUAAGCAAACCACUCGCCCACACGACACCAUACACACUGUCUUCCAUCUGCCCGGUAUAGUUGAAACCGGGAUUCAUUCGUGAAGAGCAUACUUCUCCAGCAUGCCAGUGGCCAUCGAAGGUGAGCAUUUGCCUAUUGAAGUCAGUUAAGAUGCAGUCCAGUCAAGACCCUGGUGAGGAUAACGAGUGCGCAGAUGAGCUUCCCUGAGACGGUUUCAGAAAACUUGUGCAGAAAUUCUUCGGUUGGGCAAACCAACAGUUUCCUCAGUGGUCCGGGUGGCUGGUCUCAGAUGAUCCCUCAGGUGAAGAGGCCGGAUGUGGAGGACCUGGGCUGGCGUGGUUACACGUGGUCUGUGGUUGUGAGGCAAAGUGGACUUACUGCCAAAUUCUGUAAAACUACAUUGGAGGCGGCUGUGUAAUAUCAAAAGUAUAUUUACAUUAUAAACAGCCUGGAGGUGGCAAUAGGCUCUAUAGGCUCUAUGUGUGUAUUGGGAAGAGCCAACAGUGGAAGAGCCAACAGUGGAAGAGCCAACAGUGGAAGAGCCAACAGUGCCAGUCUUGGUAGAUUCAGGUCGCUUUCCCCUGCUCAGAUGUUGCACGCAUCAACCAAUGCUUACAUACAACAUCAUCGACCGUGUCAUCGACUGACUGAAUGCUAGAACAUAUGAUGUGGUUAGCUGAUAGGUAAAAAACACCUAUCCAGUCCUGAUAAGAUCUGGCAAGAGUCAGCAACGCCUGGGCAGAGGAAUGUGUCUGCUAUGCAUGAUGACGUCAUAUCCCUACAACGAGAGGGAGGCCGACACAUUGACAGUACUAUUCAUAGACAAUAGGUGGCAGUAUAGUAUCAUAGAUCCUGCUUGUACUAAAGCUUCAAUGAGAACCUUUCCUUCUCUAGGCUCUACUCUCCAGGCCCUUUACUCUUUUCUAUUUUUGCCAAUUGCCUGCCACUGGCAUUAAACAAAGCAUGUGUGUCCAUGUAUGCUGAUGAUUCAACCAUAUACGCUAUGCGUCAGCAACCACAGCUAAUGAAGACACUGAAACCUUUAGCAAAGAGUUGCAGUCUGUUUUGGAAUGGGUGGCCAGUAAUAAACUGGUCCUGAACAUCUCUAAAACUAAGAGCAUUGUAUUUGGUAAAAAUCAUUCCUUAAGUUCUAGACAGCUGAAUCUGGUAAUGAACGGUGUGGCUGUUGAACAAGUUGAGGAGGAUAAAUUACUUGGCGAUACCUUUUGAUUGUAAACUGUCAUGGUCAAAAUAUAUAGAUUCAAUGGUUGUAAAGAUGGGGAGAGGUCUGUCCGUAAUAAAGAGAUACUCAGCUUUUUUGACACCACACUCCAGAAAGCAAGUUCUGCAGGAAUAUAGUUUUAUCUUAUCUUAAGGUAACAUAACUAAAUGACUAUCACACCGUAGCACUCACUUCUGUCAUCAUGAAGUGCUUUGAGAGACUUGUCAAGGAUCAUAUCACCUCCACCCUACCUGAUACCCUAGAGCCACUUCAAUUUGGGUACCGCCCAAAUAGGUCCACAGACGAUGCAAUCGCCAUCACACUGCACAUGGCCCUAUCCCACCUGGACAAGAGGAAUACCUAUGUAAGAAUGCUGUUCAUUGACUACAGCUCAGCAUUCAAAACCAUAGUGCCCUCCAAGCUCAUCAUUAAGCUUGAGGCCUUGGGUCUCAACCCCGCCCUGUGCAAUUGGGCCCUGGACUUCUUGACGGGCCGCCCCCAGGUGGUGAAGGUAGGAAACAACAUCUCCACUUCGCUGAUCCUCAACACUGGGGCUCCACAAGGGGGCUUGCUCAGCCCCCUCUUGUACUCCCUGUUCACCCAUGACUGCGUGGCCAUGCACACCUCCAACUCAAUCAUUAAGUUCACAGAUGACACAACAGUAGUAGGCUUGAUUACCAACAAUGACGAGACAGUCUAUAGGGAGGAGGUGAGGACAUGAAAACAGUGUGGUGUCAUGAAAACAACCUCUCACUAAAUGUCAACAAAACAAAGGACAUGAUCAUGGACUUCAGGAAACAGCAGAGGGAGCACCCUCAUAUCCACAUCGACGGGACAGCAGUGGAGAAGGUGGAAAGUUUUUUAAGUUCCUUGGCGUACACAUCAAGGAUAAACUGAAAUGGUCCACCCACACAGACAAUGUGGUGAAGAAGGCGCAGCAGUGCCUCUUCAACCUCAGGAGGCUGAAGAAAUGUGGCUUGUCACCUAUAACCCUCACAAACUUUUCAAAUGCACAAUUGAGAGCAUCCUGUCGGGCUGUAUCACCGCCUGGUACGGCAACUGCACCACCCAUAACCGCAGGGCUCUACAGAGGGUGGUGUGGUCUGCACAAAGCAUCACUGGGGGCAAACUACCUGCCCUCCAGGACACCUACAGCACCCGAUGUCACAGGAAGACCAAAAAGAUCAUCAAGGACAACAACCACCCAAGCCCCUGCCUGUUCAUCUCAAUACCAUCCAGAAGGCGAGGUCAGUACAGGUGCAUCAAAGCUGGGACCGAGAGACUGAAAAACAGCUUCAAUCUCAAGGCCAUCAGACUGCUAAACAACCAUACUAAAACAGUGGGGCUACUGCCUACAUACAGACUCAAAUCUCUGGCCACUUUAAUAAAUGGAUAACUAGUCACUUUAAUAAUGUCACUUUAAUAAUGUUUACAUAUCUUGCAUUACUCAUCUCACAUGUAAAUACUGUAUUUUAUACCAUCUAUUGCAUCGUGCCUAUGCCGCUCGGUCAUUGUUCAUCCAUAUAUGUAUAUGUAUAUAUUCUUAUUCCAUUCCUUUACUUAGAUUUGUGUGUAUUAGGUAGUUGUUGUGGAAUUGUUCGAUUACAUGUUAAAUAUUGCUGCACUGUCGGAACUAGAAGCACAAGCAUUUCGCUUCACUCUCAAUAACAUCUGCUAACCAUGUGUAUGUGACCAAUAAAAUGUGAUUUGAU